UUUGGAUCUUCUCUUUCCACUAUCCAUGAUUGGUUUGGGCAACCAAAUUACAGGUACGAUGCUGGAGAUGCUCGCGCUAUUUCGCGCGAGAGAGAUGCUCGUGCUACUUUACAACGUUCACCGGAGUCAGAACCAUCUCAUCCUUCCCAGAAACAAAAUGCAGAGCCACUAGCAUCCAUCCAAGUCAACAACGAGCCCCUGCCAUACGUUGGUUUUACAGCCAUGGUACAAAACAAGUUUCUCCAAUGCAGGUGGGAUCCGGAAACUACACCACGCGCUACAGCUACAGCGGCUCACUUCCUGCCACGGCCUUUACCUUUCUUGGAUUUCUUCUUGCCCUUCUGCUUCUGCGCCGCCUUCUGCGAGGUCGAGGCGGCGGCCACUGCUUCCUCCUUCAACGGUUCCGCCUCGUUGCCUCCUGCCGUGUCAGGCUCACUGUCUGAACAUCCG
rnacentral:lncRNA from 1 species